GAUACAAUCAGUCAGAUAAUGACUUAAUUGGAUUUUACAGAAGAUUGAGUUUUAUUGCCCAGUGCUUUACGAGUUUAGUUAAGGAAGAUCAUUUUAUCACACUUGUCAAGCCGCUGCUACUGCAGCCGUGUGCCCUUCGGGGCGGCUGUAGCUGUAGCUAUUGUGAUUGUAAGGCGACGCCAGAGGCUGCAGGGAGCGCGGGGAAGGACUGGGCCGCUGAACGCCACUUCCGAGGUGGUAAUGGUGGCUUUUUGGGAUGGAGAUCCUUUGCUCACCUUCGCACUCGUUGCCCACGGCCCACACUCCCUCCAUUUAUUUGAAUAAUACUGGCUUCUGCGAAUCUAGUAGUCCUUGAAUAUUUACUGUUCCAUAGAUGACCCCACCCAACACUAUUUUUUCGGGCGUUUUUGAUGGGCUUCCCUUAUGGCUCAGCUAGUUAAAAACCGCCUGCAAUGCAGGAGACCUGGGUUUGAUUCCUGAGUUGGGAAGAUCCCCUGGAGAAGGGAAAGGCUACCCACUCCAGUAUUCUGGCCUGGAAAAUAACAUGGACUCUAUAGUCCAUGGGGUCGCAAAGAGUCAGACACGACUGAGCGACUUUCACUUUGAUGGAGAAGCUCGGCACGGCCCCCUCAAUGGAUGGAUGGGUGUGUGUUAUUUCCUCUCCCAUCACAGCCCCCUUCGCUGUGAACAUGCGAACAUUCCUGAAAAGCCAGGCGGAGCCGGAUAAGCGCGUUAGCCAGCUCUCAGAGCCUAGAUCCAGCACCUCCUGAGCUCCUGGGUGCUCCUGGGGGGGCCGGGCUCCGGUUUGGAAGGGCCACUCCUAGCGCGAGGACCACACCCCAGGGCUGCGAUGGGUUCAGGCGGAGUCGAGGAAAUUCGGCUGCUUCUCUCUUCUCCCCAGAUAGCCCCAUGAAGGGGCUUUCUUCCUGCACCUGGUAGGGUGAAGUGGACCUGCGAUCCUCACGUUUCCUCCUGGAGGCUUAUUCUUGACUGCUAGGGAGGAAAGCACCAGGCGGGCCAGGCCCAGGUGACUGCGUGUCUGGGCUGCUGAAUUUUAACCGUAUUUUAAUAACCACGUUUGAGGGGCGAUCAGUUUCUCAGCUCUGCGCCCUUGAAUGGAGACCUCUAACAGCAGGGCCACAGCCUCUCCCAAACCCUGCGUGUGCAGGUGUGGGCGUGCCGGGCGCUGUGUUCUUGCCCCUUACCGGCGCUGUCUUCCGUGCGGGGAAACAGAGGCAGGCUUGCCGGGCCUUCCUUUUUUGAAUGUUGUUGGCAGACGAAGCGCAAGCCUUUCCUCAGGACCGCCUGCGACUUCCGAGUGGUUGGGGAUGAGGAGCGACUUCUCCUCCCUUCCGGAGCACGCGGCGCCCGGGACCCGCGCCCACUCCGGUCUGUCUUCUGGUUCUCACUCCACUAGUGUGCUGUAGAACUAGGGUCUCAAGGAUAGCGGCCUGAGGGGCCCAGGGCGCUCUUGAUGACCCUGGCCUCCUCGCUGCCAUUAUCCCUGCUUACACUCCCCCUGCAAAGCCCACGCACGGAGCCCGCAUAGCCGUCUCCCGGGCAUCUAGUGGAAACUAGAUUCCCACCCAGGCGUAGAAAUUGAGCCCUCUCCCCGCUUCUUGGAAACCGCAUUACUGAACUGGCUUCACGUGCACAUGUAGACUACCCCGCAUCUGACGCAUAGCACCACGCUUGGCACGCUUUAUAGAACGUGCUUCGUGUCACAAGCAAUCCAGAAGGCAGCCUGGCGAGCGCAGGGUUUUCCUUAGCUCCCGGGACUGGGCCCUAUCCGCCCCUCCGGUUGGGGUCGCCGCAGCCAGCCCGCCGCCCCUCUGAGAGGUUGCUCCGGGAACUUGCGUGGGUUUACGUCCUCCUCGCUCCCUCUGCGUACAGGCAAGCGAACAAGGCCUGAGACCUUUGCUGCGCGCCGGGCACGCGUAAGCUCAGCCGCCAAUGUAUCUUUUAUUCUCGCCUUUAAAACACUCCUCUCCACCUACCCCCCCUCCCCCGCCCCCAGGGAAAAGCGAGGCCUUCACUCAGUCAAGUAUUCGUUAAGUGCCUUCCCCUACCCCUGGCCAAAGGCCUGCAAACUUUUCAGUAGCUCUAAGCUGCGGCCCAGACGGUGCAAGAGGGUUCUGGGAGAGUGGGCGGGGCGUUAGGUGGGUGGGGCCCGCGUGCUCCGGAAGUCUCCCCGCCCUGGAGGCUUUGGUGCCGGCUAGGCGGAGGGUUGGCUGCUGGAACGCCUGGUGGUACUUGAAUUCACAGCACACACAUGGACGUUUUCGGGUUGUUUGUUUGCUUCCAAAGCAGUGCAGAAUAAAGCUGAGAGGCGCCGACCGGUUGACCAUUGCAGCCGACUGGUCUACGCUCCGGAUUCGCAUUGGAUUCAUCCAGACCGCCAAGAGAUGAAUUCAGGGUGUGCUCUCUUAAGUCUGCCAACUGAGAGCUCCGGGAUUGCCAUCGCCCCUCUUCGCACUGAGCCAUUGUGCUACCCUGCGCCGCAGUAACCACUGCUUUUUAGUUUUGUUUUCUCGCAUUAGGGGAGCAUCUCUGUGCAUUUGUGGAAGUAUUCUGCUUUAGGCCAAACCUAUACACACAGUAUCACUUUAAACAGUUUUAUGCUGUCAUCUUGUGCAAAGGUCCUCUCCCACCCGUACACAAAGACACUGGGGUGGGGGUGGGGAGGCCCCAUCCCUUAUUCAUAACUAGCUUGCUCAGUCCGUGGGCAUUUGAAUGGGGUGAUGCGAGACCUCCGUUUGAUCUCUCAAAGACCGUUAGGCAGAACGCAGAUCAUAUGCGGUGACUUUGGGGGCGCUAGCGUGGCCCCUCCAUCCGCUCCCUGAAAGUUUAGACCCAGUGCUUAAACACAAACUCCAAAAGAGCACUUGCCGGCUUUUCAGGACAGAGACUUUAUUUUUUAUUACAACGUGGAGGUGUAGAAAGGUAAACUCUGCGCCACAGAGGGAGGACUAUUUUCCCCUUUGAAAUAGCUUGCAAAACGGGUCGUCGUCCUUGGACCAGCAGGUUUUCAAAAGCAUGUUCUUCUGCAGCGGCAAAAGGGGAAAAACAACAACAACAACAACAACGUUGCAAAAAGAACUCAAGAAAGCCCCCAUUUCUCGAACCAGUUCCAAUGCCCUACCUCCAACUCCUUCAGCCAGUGGCCGCAGGGCCUGGCUCCCCCCAACUUAAAAGCUCUUCUCGCGCCGGGACCCUAGUGCACCCGCAGCGCUCAGAUAGGUUCCGGAUAUCCCCGAGCCGUGUUUCUGUGGCCAAGUGUGGGAAUGAAAGCCGCCUCGGGCCCGGUGCCGCCAAAUCGGGCCUGGAGGGAGGGGGGAAAAGAGUUGAAGGGGAACUGCCACCCGCCUCGCCCAGAGGCACCCUCACGCUCAUCCGCGCAGGUCCUCCCUUCCCCGCCCCGCGGGCGCUGCCGCGUCCCGAGUGCUGCAGUCCCUCCCGUGCAAGCAGGGGAGGCGCGGGGAGGGUGGAGGAG
ensembl:lncRNA